GCGGCUGGCAGAAUGACGGAUGAACGAACGACGGCUCACUUGACCGCAGUGAUUCGUUACGGUAACCGGUGGUGCGGUCACUGUGAAGAGCGGAGACACUUACCGUAGUGAACAAUGGAAAUUAUAUUAGAAUUAAUGUCUUAAGAAAACAAAGUAUAUUUAAAAAGUUAUGGAAUUUACAUUGUACGUUUGAAAAUAUUCACUGAUAGAAAUUAUAAUGAGGCAAUUGGGCACGUGCAAAAUUGAACUUUAUAAAUACUCAUUUAUAAUAAAACUUUUUUUUUUUUUUACCAAAAUAUUUAAUACUAUUAUAUAAAAUAUUAAAUAAUACUAUUUGUUUAUUUUACUAUUGUUUAUUGUAAUGCUUAGUUUGUUGUGUUUUGACAGAUUUUUUUAAGGCACCUCGAAUAAAUAGUGUAUGAAAUAUAUAAAGCCCCACUGCAUAAUGCAGUUCUCACACAUUAUUAUAUAGAGGACAUUAACAGUUAGUUCUUUAAGCACACCCUAUUGUAGUUAAAGCUGUAAGAAAUAUGUAAUAAAACCCUAUUACAUAUAGGAAAAACUGUUAAAUACUUGGUUUUCAGGAAAAGCUCCUGAAAAGCAAAAUAUUGCUUGACAACAAGAAGGUCCAUAUCCAUGUUUUUAUUGUUUAUUGACUUAAAUUGCAUAUUUUACCAGCGUCACAAAUGUUUACUUUUACUAUGUUUCAUUUUAUCUGUCUGUCCAGUUAUGGAUAGACCCCAGCUGUGGUUACGUAAACAAAUCGGAUAAAAUUGUGUGGCUUGGUUAAUGGGUUUGGUUAUAUUAUAAUAAACGUCUCUGAAUUUGUUACAGGUGCACAGGAGGUAGAAGAAAGAUGUGCAACAAUUGGAAGUAACACCACUCUUCUAUAUGUCUUCAAUAAUACAAUUGAAGACCCAGAUGAAAUAUGGGAAUUAACAAAAAACGGAGCAAAUAUUUGUGAAUGCUGGAAUAAGAAACCACUGCCUGGAAGGAGAGUUGAUAUUUCCUGCGAAAGCGUAGCAACAGGAAAUGUGUCGGUCAAGCUGCCUGUUGUCAACACAUCAGCCCAAGCAAAAUACUGUCUUUACCAGUUUAAAGGGAAUCAUAACAAAUGUCUAAGUUUAGUUGUGAAGAGUAACUGCACUGAAGCCGAUAAAACCCUGUCCACUAUUUCCACUGGUCUGACUAAUUCCACUGAUGAUAUUUCUGUUACUGUUGCUCUGUCAUCGCCGUUAUUAUCCCGUCUGUUUGUCUUGUAGCAGCUUUAGUUUGUUGGAGAUGUCAAAGUCAAAGACAGAAGCAACGCAGCUGGCAAAAUGUACAUGAAGGUACAUGUAUCUGAGGUGAUGACACAUAAAUACGCAGACCUUCAUCAGUAGCCACUUCGUACCAGCCUAAAUCUAAAUUCUCUGGACAGAGGAAUCCUGAAGUUUGCUCAGCGCCGAAGCACAAACUGCUAAAAAUAAUUCCUUUUAUGUUUAGAUUGGAUUAAUGGUAUGGGGAAUAAUGAAUUUUAAAUGAUUGUGGUAUAGAGAAGAUCUUUUUUUUUUUUUUUAAUGCUCCAAUAAUGGCUCAUUCAUGUGAAAGUAUAUGUGUAGUAGGUAGAAGUGACUCUGAACAAGGAGGUCGAAGGAUGACGACUGGUCAGUGUGUGAAAGAAGCACUAACGCCGCCAAAGAAGUGCAGCACACUGAGAUUUAGCAAGGAAACGUUUUUGGAGGUGAACAGUGUGUUUUCUAAAUUUACCGGAUGAUGUAUUUUAAUGUUUUACUCUGUUAGAUUCAGAAUGUUGUUUAGAGAAGUAAUAAUACUGAAUGAAAUGAUUGGCUUACAGUAUUAAUGCUACCAGAACAUUGACAGUAUUUAUAUAUUAGUAUUUUAAUAAUUUUCUUUUUAAUUUUGGACUUAUACAUAUUUGUUGUAUUUAUACCCAGUGUAAAUAAUUAGUUAUAUAUUUUAUAAAACACGUCAGGUAAAUAAAGUUAAAAUAUAUCAUAAUACA
ensembl:lncRNA